UGCAUCCCGCAUCACAGGGAGCCAUUCUGCGGAGCGAGUCCACUAAAGUCAAGGCGGUCGACUGUUCGUGUCUUUGUGCUCUGCCUGGCAACGCCCGACACAGAGAGAGGAGCCGCUGAACCGGUUUGCAGAACUGCUCCUCAUCUCCAGAGCACGGUCUGCAGAAGGUGACCAACAUGGCGGAUGCUGCAGGAUCUGAGACUGCUCCAGGAACAAGGAGCAUAAAGAAGGAGAAGGAUGCUGAUCCCACUG